AGAGUUUGAUCCUGGCUCAGGAUGAACGCUGGCGACGUGGAUAAGGCAUGCAAGUCGAACGGUUGUAGCAAUACAACAGUGGCGAGUGGGUUAGUAACACGUAGAUACAAACCUUUUACUCAGGCACAACCCGGAGAAAUCCGGGCUAAUUCCUGAUGGUCCCGCAAGGGUAAAGAUUUAUCGGUAAAAGAUUGGUCUGCGUCCUAUCAGCUAGUUGGUGAGGUAAUGGCUCACCAAGGCGAUGACGGGUAGGCGGAGUGAGAGCUUGGCCGCCAACAAUGGCACUGAGACACGGGCCAUACUCCUACGGGAGGCAGCAGUCGAGAAUAUUCGACAAUGGGCGCAAGCCUGAUCGAGCGACGUCGCGUGUGGGAUUAAGAUCUUCGGAUUGUAAACCACUUUUCUGGGGGAAGAAUUUUGACGGUACCUCAGGAAUAAGGGGUGACUAAACUCGUGCCAGCAGUAGCGGUAAUACGAGUGCCCCGAGCGUUAUCCGGAUUUAUUGGGCGUAAAGGGUCUGUAGGUGGUUUGUUAAGUUCUUCGUUAAAGUUCCAGGGCUCAACCUUGGAGAAGCGGAGAAAACUGGCAAACUAGAGGAUGUUAGGGGCUGAUGGAACACUUGGUGGAGGGGUGAAAUCCGUUGAUAUCAAGUGGAACACCAAAAGCGAAGGCAAUCAGCUAGGACAGUCCUGACACUGAAAGACGAAAGCGUGGGGAUAGAAAAGGAUUAGAUACCCUUGUAUUCCACGCCCUAAACGAUGAAUACUAGCUAUUGCAAGUGUCGACCCUUGCAGUGGCGAAGCUAACGCGUUAAGUAUUCC
rnacentral:rRNA from 1 species